rnacentral:rRNA from 1 species
AACGAACGCUGGCGGCAUGCCUAACACAUGCAAGUCGAACGAGACCUUCGGGGCUAUUUGCUCACGGGUGCGUAACGCGUGGGAAUCUGCCCUUGGGUUCGGAAUAACAGUUGGAAACGACUGCUAAUACCGGAUGAUGACGUAAGUCCAAAGAUUUAUCGCCCAAGGAUGAGCCCGCGUAGGAUUAGCUAGUUGGUGAGGUAAAGGCUAACCAAGGCGACGAUCCUUAGCUGUUCUGAGAGGAUGAUCAGCCACACUGGGACUGAGACACGGCCCAGACUCCUACGGGAGGCAGCAGUGGGGAAUAUUGGACAAUGCGCGAAAGCCUGAUCAAGCAAUGCCGCGUGAGUGAUGAAGGCGUUAGCAUUGUAAAGCUCUCUUAAACGGGAUGAUACUGACAGUACCGGGAGAAUAAGCCCCGGCUAACUCCGUG